GACGAACCGUGCAAACGUUGUUCGGAAUCACUGGGCUUAAAGGGCGCGUAGGCGGGGGUGUAAGUCUGGGGUGAAAUCUUUCGGCUCAACCGGAAAAGUGCCUCGGAUACUGCAUCUCUUGAGGAAGGUAGGGGUCGAUGGAACUUCCGGUGGAGCGGUGAAAUGCGUAGAUAUCGGAAGGAACGCCGGUGGCGAAAGCGAUCGACUGGACCUUUUCUGACGCUGAGGCGCGAAAGCCAGGGUAGCGAACGGG
rnacentral:rRNA from 1 species